rnacentral:rRNA from 1 species
CGUAGGGUGCAAGCGUUGUCCGGAAUUAUUGGGCGUAAAGAGCUCGUAGGCGGUUUGUCGCGUCGACUGUGAAAACCCGAGGCUUAACCUCGGGCCUGCAGUCGAUACGGGCAGACUAGAGUUCGGUAGGGGAGACUGGAAUUCCUGGUGUAGCGGUGAAAUGCGCAGAUAUCAGGAGGAACACCGGUGGCGAAGGCGGGUCUCUGGGCCGAUACUGACGCUGAGGAGCGAAAGCGUGGGGAGCGAACAGGAUUAGAUACCCUGGUAGUCCACGCCGUAAACGUUGGGCGCUAGGUGUGGGGGUCUUUCCACGAUCUCCGUGCCGCAGCUAACGCAUUAAGCGCCCCGCCUGGGGAGUACGGCCGCAAGGCUA